UACGGAGGGUGCAAGCGUUACCCGGGAUCACUGGGCGUAAAGGGCGUGUAGGCGGGAUGUUAAGUCUGACUUUAAAGACCAUGGCUCAACCAUGGGAGUGGGCUGGAUACUGGCAUUCUAGACGACUGGAGAGGCGAUCGGAAUUACUGGUGUAGCGGUGGAAUGCGUAGAUACCAGUAGGAACGUCAAUGGCGAAGGCAGGUCGCUGGACAGUUUGUGACGCUGAGGCGCGAAAGUGUGGGGAGCAAACCGG
rnacentral:rRNA from 1 species